rnacentral:rRNA from 1 species
UACGUAGGGUGCGAGCGUUGUCCGGAAUUAUUGGGCGUAAAGAGCUCGUAGGCGGUGUGUCACGUCGGCCGUGAAAACCUGCAGCUUAACUGUGGGCGUGCGGUCGAUACGGGCAUCACUGGAGUUCGGCAGGGGAGACUGGAAUUCCUGGUGUAGCGGUGAAAUGCGCAGAUAUCAGGAGGAACACCUGUGGCGAAGGCGGCCCCCUGGCCGGCCCUGACACUGAGACGCGGAAAGGCGUGGGGGAGCGAACGGG